UUGAUCAUGGCUCAGGACGAACGCUGGCGGCGUGCCUAAUACAUGCAAGUCGAGCGGACCAAAGGGAGCUUGCUCCUGGAGGUUAGCGGCGAACGGGUGAGUAACACGUGGGCAACCUGCCUGUAAGACUGGGAUAACAUCGAGAAAUCGGUGCUAAUACCGGAUAAUAAAAAGAACUGCAUGGUUCUUUUUGAAAGAUGGUUUCGGCUAUCACUUACAGAUGGGCCCGCGGCGCAUUAGCUAGUUGGUGAGGUAACGGCUCACCAAGGCAACGAUGCGUAGCCGACCUGAGAGGGUGAUCGGCCACACUGGGACUGAGACACGGCCCAGACUCCUACGGGAGGCAGCAGUAGGGAAUCUUCCGCAAUGGACGAAAGUCUGACGGAGCAACGCCGCGUGAGUGAUGAAGGUUUUCGGAUCGUAAAACUCUGUUGUUAGGGAAGAACAAGUGCCGUUCGAAAGGGCGGCACCUUGACGGUACCUAACGAGAAAGCCAUGGCUAACUACGUG
rnacentral:rRNA from 1 species